rfam:Schistosoma margrebowiei strain Zambia genome assembly, scaffold: SMRZ_scaffold0005353
AUCCAACUGACGACUCCUAAAGAGGACUAAAUACGCGUCCUGGAU